rnacentral:rRNA from 1 species
AUUGAACGCUGGCGGCAGGCCUAACACAUGCCAGUCGAGCGGAUGAAGGGAGCUUGCUCCUGGAUUCAGCGGCGGACGGGUGAGUAAUGCCUAGGAAUCUGCCUGGUAGUGGGUGAUAACGUCCGGAAACGGGCGCUAAUACCGCAUACGUCCUGAGGGAGAAAGUGGGGGAUCUUCGGACCUCACGCUAUCAGAUGAGCCUAGGUCGGGUUAGCUAGUUGGUGGGGUAAAGGCCUACCAAGGCGACGAUCCGUAACUGGUCUGAGAGGAUGAUCAGCAAACCUGGAACUGAGAAACGGUCCAGACUCCUACGGGAGGCAGAAGUGGGGAAUAUUGGCCAAGGGGCGAAAGCCUGAUCAAGCCAUGCCGCGGGUGUGAAGAAGGUCUUCGGAUUGUAAAGCACUUUAAGUUGGGAGGAAGGGAAGUAAGUUAAUACCUUGCUGUUUUGACGUUCCCAACAGAAUAAGCACCGCUAAACUUCGU